UGGGUUAACCCAUUUAACAACUC
rnacentral:snRNA from 1 species